UGAAUAUUUAAAACGUUGUGAAUGACUAAUUAAAACUAUUGCAAGUUGUUUAAUUAAUUGCUAUGUGCUGUGAGUGAUGUGAGAGGAAGAAGAAGAGAGACAAUCAAUCACAAACACCAAGUUUUAUAGUGGUUCGGAGCUAACCCUUGCUCCUACGUCCACUCCCCAAGUCUCACUUGGGAAUUCACUAUAACCCCCUUGGAUUACAGCCGGUUGUUUUCCAAGAUCACAACCAAACUUGUUGUUUUACGAGCUCACAACGAACUCGAUCGGUUUUCCCAGGCUCACCGACUAGAACCACCCCGAUUGUUUUUCCGGGAUCACAAUCGAACCCUUACACACGUUGGUUUUACACUCGGCUCACCAACCAAC
rnacentral:lncRNA from 1 species